GUUCCAGCAGCUUCCAGUUCACAUCAGACAUGUUUCUUGGUGGUUUUUUGAUUGUAUUUGACCAUCUGGCCAUCAUCUUUUCUCAGCUGUGGGUGACAAUUUGGGUCUUCUUCCAGACCUUAGCAGAGUGGCUGCACCUACAAAUAACUUUGUGGUCUGGAGGGGACACUCCAGCUCCCCAACACUCGACACAGACUGACGCUGGCACAAGUCUCUGCAAACAAAGACUUUUUAUUCUGCUGUGGGAAACUCUUCCCAAUCGUUUCUCACCACCAAAUCACAGUACAGUCAAUGCACACAGCACAUCAACUCUUUCCACUCUUUUUGUCCUUCACUUCAGCACCUCUCUCUGCCUCCACUCCUCCCAGCAAGCGUUGUCUUCUCUCCACCAACUCCGCCUCCUGGAACUGCAGCAGUGGGCUUCUUUUUUGUGACACUUGGGAGUACUUCUGGUGGCCCGUUAGCAUAGUCCAGAAGCACGUCUGGGUGAGGUGGGAACCCAACAAAGUAGGGCUCCCCAAGUCCCUGCAGCACCCCCUGGUGGCAUCCCCAGAACCCAACAGGGCUGAGUCCACAAACCCCCCAGUCCCAGCAAGCUGUGUGGGAAUCCGGAGUGCUGUAGCAACCCAGGGGGGCUGCCAUCUAGUGAUUCCGGGGGAGAUAAUGCCCAAUGCAUGCUCUCUCCCCAAGUCCUUCCGUUACGAGGGCGUCCCAGCUGGGUAAGGAUGCCACAACUUGUUGUUUGAACUAAUGAUCCUGGAAUCUGAAGCUGUUUAGAAGUGGCUCCAGGAGACCUCAGAGGACCUUUAUUGACUUGGGUAAAUCUGCUGUCCUCUUUCUCAAGUCUGCACUGAGCUCCUUGGACUUCCCCAUUGUAAUGAAUGUUGGUCAAUCCAAUGGGUGCCAUCAAACGGGCAACACAGAGAAGCUACCAGCUGGAGUCAAUCACGGUCACUAAUGAUGAAGUUAAAACACAUUUUGGAACCUAUGUUGGCCCCCGUAUGUACGACUGUGACCCUAUGAUGGUUUCGGUAACCCCACAAAAAACUUGUGCGCUACACUUCUGAUUUGUUUUUCUGUAACAAUGAUGUACAGUAUGUUGUACAGUCAUCCUACCACAGGGGAAGCACUGAAAAGCCAGCACUGCCCUGAUGUACAAGUCCAUUAAGCGAAUGGAUGGAAACUUUACAGCACUUCGGUAUGUUAAUCAACCAGCCUUUCAUAAGGUUAGGGUUGAGCAAGCAAGUGCACAAAGUGACCAGUAAAAUAAAUCAGAAUACUUUAUUAAUCCCAAAGGAAAUUACUUAGGCUACAACUGCACGGAUAAACAAAGGCACAAGUAACACAGACAGCAAAUAUUCAAAUCAGUACAUAAAGUAAAAUAAAAUCUAAAUAUCAAAAUACACUACAAUAAAUCCUCAUUCGCUAUGCUCUACAGGUACGCGGUGAAUUAAAUAUAAAAAAUACGAUACAUCAGAGUCUCAGAACCAAUUCCUUAGCUUACUAAACAGAACAGCACACCGAGUAGGAAGUAAUAUUGCGCAUACAGAUGAAAUAUCAAACAUUUUAAGAAACAAAAUACAAAAGACAGCUGCCUUCAACAGCCCACAGGAAGGAGGGCUUUACAGGGGUGGGGUGACAUGGCAGCAGAUGACAACUGUGCCACCACUCAGGAGUUCAGGCUGUACCCUGGUCCAUGAGUGGGCCACAGUUCUUCAUUCCAAGCCUUAAAAUGGAACGGAGCCCCACAGGCCUCUAAGGGGGUCCUGGGCAAAGGACCAUAACCUCAAACGUCCAGAACGGUGAGCUGGAGCCCCAGGUCUAGUAUUGCGCCACACGCCCAGAGCCCGGCUCAUAAGAGAUGGCAGGAAUGUAACUGGCUGCCCAUCAUUUCUACUGCUUGGCACAGGAAGCACAGGGUGGGAGGGGAGUCCAUGUGUUUAGACUUCACCCUGUGGAUCCUGCCAGUCACAAAGCUCAGUUUUAAUUAAUUUUUCAACUCAAUAAAUUUAAGAUUACUGUAAAAAUAUGAAGAAAAGGUACCAUUGUACCACUUCUACUGCUCCCUCAGCUUAGUCCAACAGUCCGUCAAGACCUGAGCCAAGCAUGGAGGAAAUCGGCAAAAAUCCACAUGUGAGGCUGACUGUGAUCACAAUUAAUACAAACUCAAUUUAAAAACAGCAGCUUCGUGUUUUUAUGAAGUAAUGAAAAUCGAUGUGAAAGUCGAGCUGUGUAGUAAAACUAGGUAGCCCAGGACAUGACCCCGCCCCAGUCUAGCCCCGCCCCUGCACCACCGAUGUGGGAGGAGCCUGAGCCUGACGGGCAGCACAUCAUUUACAAAAAAGAAAGUGAAAGCACACAGUUUGCACUCAUUUACUUCUAGGCAUUUGCUUUUUUAUUUCUUUUAACAAUUUCCGUAUGUAUGUGGCGACGUCUAAAGAAAAUGCACUGAUGCUCUAAGCUUGCAUGGCCUCAAUGCGUAAGGAGUGAAAUAAAAACAAGAAAACAAAAAAGUACAUUAUAACACAGUGAGUGUGGCAGCAGCUUGUGCGAGCAUAAAACCCACAAGAGUGGGCGCCAUGACUUACCCGGCGAGGUGGACAUGCGCUCCUGCAGUGAUCCCCUCUCGAGCAGUAGUUACCUUUUGGGGCUGUGAAGGAAAGCCCCCCCACCUUGUUUCAUGAUGUCUGAGAUUGUAAGCAGUCUUCCCAUGAAGCCAGAGCCAGUGAAUUCCUUCCUUAGCCCCCUGCCUUGUCCGCCGUUUCUUUCUCCUUUCUGUGGCCACUCACUCUGGGUGGCUGAGUCAUCGUCCCGCGCACCAACUCAUCUGUCAUAAGUGUGCCCUCUCUGUUGCCUGCUGCCUUGCCCUGUCACUUGCAGCACCACAAUGAAGGAUGCAAAGGGGGUCUACACACAUUCAUAGAAUGCGAAGGCUUGUGCUGCCUACAGAGGGGGCAGAGUUGCCCUGCUGUGCCAAGGGUACUGUCAUGUGUUCAGGGUCAAAUGACAUUCAAAACACACACACAUACACGCAAACCUUAGAACCCGUGGUGGGAGAAAUAAAUGUUCUACACAUCGACAUUUUGCGUAUUUCCAAAACAGCUAUGCCAUGAAAUUUAAUCCAGACAUUGGAAACAACUCGGUAAAAUGACACAGCCAGAGAAAUCGUAACAUUCCAAUCCAUAAAGAAGUUAUGUACAGGAAAGUGGAAUGACACAGGAAGAAGCAGCCGAUUCCACCGACGUGUUCUCCUACCUGUGCUGGGUCAGUCAGAACUUCCACUCUUUGGGAAAGGGUUACUCACCUCGGAAUGAAAGAUAACUAAUCAUUUGUUAUCAAGCGUUCCUACAAGAAACAUCUCAUGAUGGGUUGAGGCUAAGAGCUCUCCCAGGACCUUCACAAGGUUGUUGAGCAAUGUGGCAAUGGCACUGCUCACUGACAGAGUUCUUAACUCCUUUCAAUGUUCCUAAUGGCACUCCAGGGGCAGCACUUGGUAGGAACAUCACUCACUCCACCAUCAACUGGCCAUGCACAGGAGCUCCUUGCAAUAUUUCCAACCAGCUAGUCAAACAUUAGUCAGAAUAGUAGCUCAAGAGCCAAGGAGACCUAUCAGAAGGAGCCCCAGGGAGGCCUGGAAGCAGCAGGUACUGUCAUCACAAAGAUGACUAUUGACAUUGCUCUCCACCAUCAUGGUCUGCAUGCACAAUCACCCCAGAAGACUCCAUUACUGAAGAAAAGACAUGUUGAUGCUCGUGUGAAGUUUGGAGAAGACUGUAGAACACUGACAGAAUUUAGUGUGGCCAGACAGAACAAAAAUUUUUGGCAGCAAUGUAACACACCAUGUUUGAAGAAAACACGGCUCUGCCUACGACCCUAAAAAUACCAAAUCUGCUGUGAAGUUCGGAGGGGGAAGCAUCAAGGUGUGGGGCUGUUUCUCAUCUCAUGGUAACAGAGGAGUUCAAUUUAUCACAGGAAAGAUGAAUGGAGAAAUUCAAGAGAAGACUCUGUUGCCAUCCACCAAGACGAUGAGGAUGAGACGUGCAGGACAAUGAUCCUAAAGAGGCUGCAAAGGAGAUGCUCGAGUGGUUCCUGAGGAAGAAGACAAAGCUGUCGGAACGGCCCAGGCAAUCAGCAGACGUACAUCUAAGAGAAAGAACAUUUGAGGAAGGAACUGAAGAUUAGGAUUAACCAGCAGGCCCCGGAAUCUUCAAAAUGUAAGGACCGUCUGUGUAGAAGAAUGGGACAAAAUCCCACCAAAACGCUGUGAGAGACUCCUUCCUUCCAUUUGAAGCUCUCAUUGCAAACAAAGGUUUCUUCACUAAUUUCAGUUAGCAUGAUCAACACUUUUUCCCUGUUUCGUUGCCAUUUUAUGUAUUGGAUUGUUACAAGAUCUUUGCCUUAUUCAUUUGAUUGAUUUUGUAACAAUGGCUGGAUGUAUGUUUAAUGAGAAAAAUGUUGAUGUGUUGAAUACUCAUCUCCAUCACUGUAUGUGAUGCCAGGCUGCUGCUUUGUGGUCUUCAUUGCAUACAGUUGUUUGGGCCUAUAAGACAACCAAAGUGAUAAGAGAAGAGCAAACAGAAAGGAAGCCAAGAUGUAGUUGUAACCUAAAAAGCAAAGAAACAAUAACACAAUCGGAGCGUGAGCAUGAGAAACAAAGAGAAGAGAAGGAACUUGAUGAAGAAGAAGAGCACAAAGUCUGAGCAAGGGGGCUAACAUGAACACAGCUGGCUUAAGACGGGCACAUACCAUGCAAUUUUAAGCCCAAUUUCUAGUCACGUUGUUUUACAUCCAUCCAUCCAUUUUCCAACCCGCUAAAUCCGAACACAGGGUCACGGGGGUCUGCUGGAGCCAAUCCCAGCCAACACAGGGCACAAGGCAGGAACCAAUCCCGGGCAGGGUGCCAACCCACCGAAGCAUUGCUUUACAUGUGGUAUGAAAGGAGAUGCGACUCCUGAUUGCAUCUUAUGAUUGAGUUGUUAUACAAUCGGGAGAAUUUCUGCCAUGUUAGAAAGUUCAGUCGGCUGUCUUGUAGUGCGAGUCGUCUCACCUUCAAAUUUCGUAAAGUUCAACGUGUAGCGACUGCAGCGAAAGUGCGUGUGGCAAGAAUAAGAACAACAGGCAUGGCAGGAGGAACACGUGCUGUGUGGACAGCAAGCAUGGCGGCCUGAUGUACCGAGCUCUAGCAGCAAAACUACUGCCUAAACAACGUAUCGUGGCAGGACAUUGCGCAUUGGCCAUUGCUGUUAUCAAACUCUCUUCCACUUUUUUGAUCUCAAAACGUUAACUAUCACGUAGCAGCACACAUUCAACUAAAUGGCCAAUGAUAAAAUGUUUCUUGGGAAACGCUUGUUGGAAGACCCCCAGACAAGCUCACCAUUUGUAAAUUAGAUAGAUUACCUCCAAUUUGUACCUAUGUAAAACAGUCCGUAUUGUCCGUGCCUUGCCAGCCAUCCGUGUGCCCAGUUCCCCUUUUUUUCAGUUUCAGAGCACAGUACGGCAGGAGGCAGUAAUGCAGCUCUUUCCUUUGUUGACAUUUUGAGACGUCUGUGGCCAUAUUGAAUGGGCAAAGCUUUAAGUGCAAACUCUCAAUGGGUAAAACUCUCCAUAUACACAUAUAGUCUGAGCAACAGCGCUGUGGUGUGUCAUUCGGCCCAAGCGUGUUUGUACAGUUUGAGCAAACACCCAACUAUCUUUCUGUAUGUGUAAUCGCUUGAUCACAAUUUCUAAAAACGCCCAGCCGUAACUAUUCACUCAUUGAGGUAAAGGGCUGAUGGCGCUCCUAAGGCCCGUGAAGCAUUGCCUGGCAACAAAUGAUACAACUUGUGACAAGAGUGAAAGUUACAGCAAAUUAAAGCUCUAUGUUCUUGGGGACAAGUUAAUAGGCGGGACCAUGAAUAGCCAAUCACAAGCCAGUACACACAGUUGGGACAGGGAGACUUGGAAAGGUUUUAACAAGAAAGGUCUUCACCGAUUAAACUGUUGUAAAGGAAAAUUGAAGUAGCAGCAAGACCCGAAAAAGAAUCAAACAAUUGAGAAGUGGGUGGCAGUUGACGCUUGAAAAUCCUUUCUCAGUAUGGGAUAUUCUGUUCUGUUGCAAUAAGAAGAAACAGGCUGUGCAUUUUUGUGGAGUUCACCAGUGAUACCAGUCUGUCUUGUCAUGGUAGCUCCUAGGGAUGCCCGACAGGAUGUUACUACAUCUGUGAAGGCUGAUUCUUCUUAUGAGGGCUUGAGAGUGCUUCACAUCUUCUCUAACAUUAUCCUUGGUGUAUUUACAGCAAAAUUCAGUGGAAAUGGGCAGAAGUUUGGAUGGGGGUGCAUGCCCACAAGACAAAGAUCUGCAGAGAGCCCCCUGAACCUAGAGAAGGAUUCAGACUGGACAGGCUUCCCCUCACCUUUUUAAGGCCACCCUAGUAUAAGUCCACCCCAUGAAGUGCAGGGUGUCAUGAAUUCUCAGUCACCCAGUAACCCCAUCAAUCCACAAUUUGUGCAGGUCCUAGUCUGCUGCAAGGAGCUUAACUGUGGGAAAUCCUGUGAGUUGUGAUCAGACAUCCUGUCGGAGACUCAUUAGCGUUCAGGGAGCCAAACUUCAUGAGUCGCCAUCAAAUGAUGAGAAUAGGACUGAUCCAAUCAAAUGGAGUAAUAUCAAAGUAUCGAAGACGUGAAGUUGGUCACUGGUGAAUGCGGACAUUAGCACCAUUAGGUGGAAUGAGUCCCCAUUGAAAGAUGAGCGCACAACUGUUUCAAAAGAACGAGUCACUACUAGUCAGUGAAGAGGGUAGCCCUGUUUCCAUAUAAUGUGUUCUUAUCAAAGCACAAGUGUAGUCCUGUUCCUGUAGAUUGUCACUACUCAAUGGUGAAGGUAACACACUGUGGAUGGUGGUACUGAUCAUAUGAAAUGAGUCUCUAUCAAACCAUCACUAUCAAAUGGUGGGACCUUUUCCAUGGAACAAGUCACUAUUGAAUGAUGAGGGUAGCACUGAUCACAUGAAAUGAGGGACCAUUGAAGAAUGAGGGUAGGACUGCUUCAGUGGAACCAAUGGGUUGCACUGCUCCCAUAUAAAGAAUUGCUAUCAGAAGAUGAGGGUAAUACUGGUCUAGCACAAUGAAUUGGUAUUGAACGGUGAGGAUAGCAUUGACCCCAUAGAAAGAGAAACCAUUUAAAGGUGAGGGUAGGACUGUUUCAAUGGUGUGAGUCAUUAUUCAGUAAAGAAGGCGACAAGGUUCCUGUAGAAUGUGUUGCUCUUCAAUGACGAGGAGUGGCAGUGCUCACGAGGAAUGAGUCACCAUCGAAACACGAGGGUAGUGUUAGUGGAACAAGUCAGUAUUCAAUAAAGUGGAUAACAUUGAUCAUGUAGAAAGAGUUGCUAUCAAAAGAUGAAGGUAGCAUCGAUAGCAUGGAAUGAGUCAAUGUUAGUACUGACCAUGUAGAGUAACUCCCCACCGAGUGUCGACAGUAGCACUGAUCACAUAGAGUGAGUGAUUAUCAAGAGAUGGGAGUUGCACAGUUCCUGUAGAACGUAUUGGUAUUGAAUGAUGAGGAUAGCACUUAUCACCUGGAAUGAGCCACCAUGAAGUAUUGAGGGUAGGAUUGUGGGAAUAGAACGAGUUACUAUUCAGUACAGAGGGUAACACUGAUCAGGUAGAAUGAGACGUUAUCAAACGAUCAAUAGCAUCGAUGACGUGAAAGGAGACAGCAUCAAGUGCUGACGGUAGCAAUGUUCCUGUAGAAUGUACAGAAGGAGGAGGGUAGCAUUGAUGGUGUGCAAUGAGUUGCCAUUUAAUCCUGAAGGUAGGGAUGUGUCAUCAAUGAAGAGGGUAACUGAUCAUAUACGUAGAGUGAGUUACUAUCAAACAAUGAAGGUAGCAUUGAUCAUGUGGAGUGAAUCACCUUCAAAUAUUGACAUAAGUAUGGAGCACAUGACUGUGUCACCAUCAAAUGAUGAAGUUAGCAUUAAUUCAUUGGAUUGAGUCACUAUUCAAUUAGACAGUAGCACUCCAGAAGGCGUAGCUAUCAAACGAUGAGACAAGAACAGGCCUUUUGGCCCAACAAAAGUCGCCAGUCCUAUCCACUUAAUUCUUCUAAAAUAACAUCAAGUUGAGUUUUGAAGGUCUCUAAAAUCCGACUGUCUACCACUCUUUGCUUAGUCACUUAUUUCAUGUGUCUGUGGUUCUCGGUGUGAAGGGAAACGUCCUAACAUUUGUGCGAAAUUCACCCUACUGUGUCCCUGUGUUGGGACGCAAGGUGGCUUAUGGAAUGAGUCUCCUCUGAAUGGCGAGGGUAGGACUAUUUGAGUGGAAUGAGAUGUUACUUAAAGAAGUGGGUAGUACUGCUCACAUGGAACAAGUCACCAUCAAAUGUGACCAUAUGGCAGGAGCCUCUAUCAAAUGACAAAGAUAGGAUUAUGUCGAUGGAACGAGUCACUGCUCAGUGAAGAGGGUGGCACUGAUCCCAUAGAAUCAAACAAUGAGGAUUGCAUUGACCACAUGGAAUGAAUCUCCAUCGAAUGUCAGUGGUAGAAGAGACUGUGUAGAGUGAGUUGUUACCAGAAGGUCGGGGUAGCACUGUUUCCAUGGAGCGAGUCGGAAUUGUAUGGUAAGAGUAGUACCGAUCACGUGGAACGAAUCGUAAUCGAAUGAUAAGAGAUCUGCCAUUGAAAAAGGUCACCAGUGAACAAUGACGGUAGCAUGGAUUUGGUAAAAUGAACUGCCAGGGCAUAGACAGAGAUCCUCCUCAAAAGGAAACGGUUGCACCAAUCCUGUCCAAAGCGAGCCAGAACUUUGCUUCCCUGAGUCACAUUAUUUAUUUCCCCUAACCGGAUUAAUGUCCCCCUGGGACUGAUCUCUUUCAGUUUUCCGCCCUGUCAUAGUCAUAGUGCCCCCUUCAGGACGCAGCAGGCAACACAGAGGAACUCAUUUCAUUUUGUCCAAUCAGUUUGCUCUUUCCUGUCAAUAAGACCCACUGCCGCUUUGAGAUCAUGCUGGAGACAUGUCGCUGUAUUACACAUCCGUAACUCUGGUGCUUCCCCCAUCCCGCUGCCCUUUCUCUGAGCUGAUGAAAAAUCUAUCUACAUAUAUAAAUAUUUAUAGUUUGUAUCGAUACGUUUGUUUUUGGUUCUUUUUUUACAUUUUGCACAAAGUACUGAGUACUGAAAGGUGCUGUAAAAAUAAAUAAAUAAAUGAAUAUCAAAAGUGAAAAUGUUGAAGCAGCAGGCUCCAAAAAAAAAAACAGAAGGAUUAGGAAACUUGCCGUUUGUGUGAAAAGUGUCCGUAUGCGUGUGGAGUUUUUAAAACGUAGGAGUAGAGGCCACCGUCUUACGCCAUAUUUGCCAAAUAGAAAACGCCCUCAGCCGAUUUAUUUAUUUAAUUUUUUCCAUUGGAGCUUUAAGGCCGCUCGAUCUACCUCUCCAGCAGUCCCACAGGAGCGUGGCCACGUCAGACAUAUGUUGGCCACAGCGAUUCUGGACAGGUAGGUGUGAUGCGAGCUUUAGGUGGCACCAGGGGGGCCGACGCUAGUUCUGUGGCUGGUGAUUACGCCUGUAGUUUGUCUGUAGCCGUAGUGUCGAGGCAUUUUUGGAGCCUGCUGUAGCAGUGAUCGUCUGACUGCUGCGUGCGUGUUUGUGUGUUCAAGACUGGGAGGAAUUAUUGCGAGAGGUUGGACAAAUCCACAUGUGGGGGAAAUCCUGCAAGGGUCCACCAUGUCACACAGGUAACCCGGCUUCAGCCACGGCACUGUGCAAGAAGCCGCAGGACCAAAUACGUUCUUCUUGAUCCACCCCGUUCUCUCCUCUUGUUGUCCCAAGACUAGCGCCACUGCAGAAUGGACACGGCCGGCCUUGGUGGUCUAACGAUUCAGCACUGGGUCUACCAGACCAGCCACCUCAGCUCUGGCUAAGAAUGUCAUGGAUCAGCCGUUAGAGGAAGUGACACACUCGGCUACAGCUACGGGAAAAAUGUUAAGGACACAUCCUGGGUACUCCUAGGAGAGACCUGUCACCCCAACGCCACCUACAAUCAUGAGUGGAAGCAUCUGUAAGGAGAAGACGCAGCUCAGUUACACCAAGAGUCAGACGAGAAGAGAGAGGGACACACUCGGCUACAGAUUGGAGGAAUAAGUGGGGAAAAUAUCCAGACUGGUCAGCCCAACAAUCAUGAGAAGAUACAUCUGUGGGGUGAAGAAUUAGCUCGACUGCAGCUAGAGGCCGGGGGUGAAGACAGAGUGACCAAAGUGGCUACAAUUAGGAAGAAUCCAUUGUAGAAAUAUCAGAGAUACUCCUAAGCUCGGUGACAGUGGUGAUCAGCAGCUUCUUCAUAAACAGCUCAACUACAUCUCGGGGGGAUCGUUAUGGACACAUCUCCCCCAAUACUCCUAGGCCAUGCUGACCAGCGUUCCUAUGCCGAGGAUCCCGUGCUUAGAGACAUCUCCCGUAGACCCCAGUGGCUUGCGCCGCCAUAAGAAUGAACGACGUAACAGAGACCGCGGGAUUACAUCGGCCUGUGGCUCUGUUUGAGGAGAUUUUCAGAACAAUUAGCGACAACCUCUGGCAGAAUCAUGUGGAAUAAUCAGGGAUGGAAAUCUCUCCGCAGCAAUAGCCGGGUCAUGUGAAGCGAGACUGUGGGAAGCCAUCUUGGAUGUGAUAAUCCGCGGAGCUCAAACACGACUACACUCAGUUUUGGUUUUGCUACAGAAUUCUGAACUUGUCAGCAGGCUCCACCUCACGAUGGCUUUUCCAGCUUCAAAGACUAUGCCAUUGAUUUUAAACAAUUCUUACUGUUUACCUCAAAAUAAUCAUCAGCAUGUUAAAGGUUUUGUUUAAUUUCUGUAAACAAUUUCAGCAUGAAAUUUUCAAAAUAUGCAAAAAUCAUGCGGCUUAACACCCACAAUGAAACCAGAAAAUUUGUUUGGAGUUUUUAUACACUUAAUGAGUGGGUGGGAAACCCGACAGGACAAAGCGAUGGCGGCGGCACAAGGACUACGACUAGAAAACGGGAGAAGGAACGGAGUGCCAGCCAAGCCAUGAACCUUGUGAGGCGGCAGAGCCACCCGUCCACCUCCGGCUGAGACUUGGCAUGUGUGGGCCGUGGGGUUUGCCCCCCGCGAGGUCAGAAAUUCACGUUCAGUUAACGUAUGGUGAUUUACGGGGCCCUUACAGAAUUUCUCCCAUAUAACUGAAUGACGUGGAUUUAGAUGCGAUUUUUAAAAAAAAUAAACAAAAUGCUUUUUCUUAACUACUCGGUCUCAUUGCUCUGGGCCUGUGCGCGUGUUGCCCGCCAUGUUUUUCACAAUUUUUACAGUUCUUUCCUUUCAUUCCUAUUUAAAUUUGAUGAAGACUUCAGUCCUUCCUCUGCUGUUUUCAUUUGGAGCUGCCCAACGACGGGCCGUGCUCCCUCAAUCUUGCACAUGAAGUCCAAAAUGAUCGAAUAUCGUGUCGUCUUUUCCUUGCCUGCGCUGUUCUUUUUGUAAAUGUGUGUUGGAAAAUGAAGUGAAUCUGCUCAAGAGAUCAAAUCUCAAAUUGUUCUUUCUGGAAUGCUUUUUUUAAAAAAUAAAUAAAAGGAAAAAAAAAGGGAAAAAAAAAGAAAAGAAAAGAAAAGAAAUUACCUUUCAAGUGAAUGACAUGGAAAUCCGUUGAACUUUUAACAUUAGGUCCUGAAAUAUUUUUUAGUUCAUUUUUGGAAAAGAAAUAAAUGCUGUUACUCCCUUCA